UCUAAUUAAUGAGUACAUUAGAGGAAUUAUUUAAUUCCACUAACAGUUUGUUUUAUUUAUUUUUUACAAUUUGUUUUUCCAUGGUACAUAAUCAGACAUAUUUCAAUAUCUUACAUUGUCAAUAGAUAUCGCUUUCCAACCCCCUCCUCCAGGUUUGGUAAAUGGACCAACCAGACCCUCAAGACUGCCAUGGGCAAGCCCCUUGAUACCAGGAAGGGUGGGAGAACAACCUGAAGGUAAUUCUCUUUGCACACAACAGCAGACGGGAGCCGCAGCUGUUGACUGAGAUCACUGAAACCCCACCUGAUGUGGUGGAAGUUGUCGAACCAGAUCAGAACGCCUUUGAGGACCACCUUCAGGCACGGACUGAGAAGGAUGUGGAGGUUUUUGACCAGCAGCUAGGGGUUCUGCCCAACACCCAGACGUGGAUCCACCUGAUGUCCU